rnacentral:lncRNA from 1 species
GAGAUUUGGCAAUUGAAUUGCAUGCAUUUUUGCAUGUAAUUAGGCUAUAAAUAGAGAUGUUUUCAAAUGUUGAAGGACUUUUGCCUCUUUUAUCAUUUUCAUAAUCUCAACAAAAGAAAAAAGAAAGCUUCCAAUCUCAUUUUAUCUCCAUUACUUUCUACACCAAAAUUGGGUCCCACAACCCGGUUCUUUGUCUAGAGGAUAGCAGUUGAGUACUAGUGGUGGUCUCGGGUAGAAUUGGUAAGAAGACAUCAAACCUUUUGAAAGCUUCAAAGGUAAUACUUCUUAAAACCCUAAUUUGAUUAGUUUAUGGUUAGAUGUUAAUUGUGGCAAUUAGGGUAGAAAUUCGAUUCUUUUUCCGCUGUGCAUGAAUUAGUUCUAUCAGUAAUGUGGGCUAUUAAUUUGUCAUGAUCUUCCUAAAUAGGCGGAAGAAUUAAGUUAUUUUUCUAUUUAUUGUUUUGGUUAUUUAUUGUCUUAAUUAUCUCCAAAGUUUUAGCAAGCACUAAGUUAGUGAGUUACUAAUUUUUGCUUCAUUUUAGACUAUAAAUACUAGCCCAUCAAAUUGAAUAAAUGCAAGAAAUUCCAUUUAAUUUUUCUCUCCCUCUUGGCAAUAUAUCUUACAAAGUAUUUAUCUUUGUUUUCUUCAAGAAGAGUGCGUGAGAUUUUACAUAUCCUUUGUUGUAAAACUAACAAUCAAUAGCAGACAACUGGAUGUAGCCUACAUUGGGUGAACCAAUAUAAACCGAGUUUCAACUCUCGCUUCAACCUGUUUUAGUAUCGUUCUUGUUUGAUUGAAACUUGAUUAAUUAAGUUAGAUUAUGGUCUGAAUUUGGUUGAUUAAGUUAGAUUAGUAUACUAUUAUCCCCACAAUCAUCUGGCAUGGACAGCGUUCCAAAAUUCAACCAUUGGGACGAAAUAUAAUUUUUAGUUUUUGAAUCCAAUUAUAUCUCCUGAUCUUUAUAUCAUAUUAAAUAAAACAAUGACGUAUGUCAAGGUAAACAUAAGUUUUUAAAGCGAUGAAAAGAUAAUAAAAUUAAAAAAAGAAAAAAAGAAAAAGAAACGGACGCUCUUAAUUGAUUAAAGUUUUGCUUAACUUUACAAUAACGUUGAAAAAGAUCCUAUAAACACACUACAAAACUUAAGAGCUUAUUGAGCUUUUACAUAAUACAGAUAUACAUAAAAUAUUCUAUCAAAUUUCAAUACAUAAUUAUCCAACAUAUUUUACUAAAAAAUAAACUUAAAGGUGAUAAACUAAUUAAAUGAAAUGUAGUAUAAUUGGUUAUGAGCAGCCAUUUUAUUCCAAUCCCCAACUAAUUGUUACAAAAGAUAACAAAGCCAACGAGUUUUAUCACAACGAGUUUUACCUUUCUGAUAUAUAUGCUUGCAAACAGUGUCGUACGUAGUGUGUGUUAGAAAGGAGGUGGAGGUGAUCUACGGGUUUGCCUUCUUGGCCACUGGAACCUGGGCGGCGGUGGUGGUGGCGGCGGAGACGUACCCGCCUUCUCCUUCUCCUUACUUGCAGUUCAAAUUCAUACGAUGGCAAAAGUGACGACGGUGAUGGUUGCGGAAGAGGGACAAUUCUUGUGUGAUAAAGAGAAGGCAAUGGGUGAAGCUGGGCAGCAGAUGUAGAGAGAAUUGGGAAGCUAAGAAAAAAGAAGGUUAAUGAGACUAAAACAAAGGCCAUCACUGGAGAUUCAUUUUUCACUUUUUCUUUUUCUUUGGUUUGUUGUUCACUUCAUUGAUGUGU